rnacentral:rRNA from 1 species
CCUACGGGUGGCAGCAGUGGGGAAUAUUGGUCAAUGGGCGCAAGCCUGACCCAGCAACGCCGCGUGAAGGAAGAAGGCUUUCGGGUUGUAAACUUCUUUUCUCAGGGACGAAGCAAGUGACGGUACCUGAGGAAUAAGCCACGGCUAACUACGUGCCAGCAGCCACGGUAAUACGGAGGUGGCAAGCGUUAUCCGGAUUUACUGGGUGUAAAGGGCGUGUAGGCGGGGACGGAAGUCAGAUGUGAAAACCACGGGCUCAACCGGUGGCCUGCAUUUGAAACUGUGUUUCUUGAGUACUGGAGAGGCAGACGGAAUUCCUGGUGUAGCGGUGAAAUGCGUAGAUAUUACGAGGAACACCAGUGGCGAAGGCGGUCUGCUGGACAGCAACUGACGCUGAGGCGCGAAAGCGUGGGGAGCAAACAGGAUUAGAUACCCGUGUAGUC